rnacentral:rRNA from 2 species
CUCGAGAGCAUGAAGCCGGAAUCGCUAGUAAUCGUAGAUCAGCCAUGCUACGGUGAAUACGUUCCCGGGUCUUGUACUCACCGCCCGUCACACCAUGGGAGUUGAUUUCACUCGAAGCCGGAAUACUAAACUAGUUACCGUCCACAGUGGAAUCAGCGACUGGGGUGAAGUCGUAACAAGGUAACCGUAGGAGAACCUGCGGUUGGAUCACCUCCUUUCUAG